rnacentral:lncRNA from 1 species
AAUAAUAAAUAUUGUGCUGUGUCAUAAUUUCAAACUCAUUAUGUUGCAGUCUUUUCCAGUUGAUAAAAUUGCAAUUCAAAAACUUUUAGAUUUGCACUGUAUGGAUGGCACAAGAAGAGAACAACAGUACAAGAACAUGAAACAUCUUAUUAUGAAUGUAUAUGUAUGUGAUCCUCAAAAAAUUAUUUUACAAAACAAGAUAGAGAAAGAGCUUUAAAAUUCCAAGGAUCCUGCAAAAUGUUUAUUUGGUGUACUAGUCGAAUAAUAGUAUCUAAAAAUAUUGAAACUAUUUUAAAACACAUUACGGGCAUGAUGAUGAUAUAGCACUUACAUAAAUACCAAAAUCAGAUAAAUAUCUCUUCAAAGUUUAUUUUGAGACUUUCUUCAAAAAUUAAACUUCAGACUGUUCAGGAUAGCAUAAUAGCAUAGGAGGCGAAUUAAAAAGAAUUGAUUUACUUACAAGAAAAGAUAUCACAAACAUUAAACUCUCUUAUGGCAUUGAUUUGAAAGGUGGGUAUAUAUGUACAAUGAUGAUGCAACCAGUGUUUAUUUUUGGGUU